UACGAAGGGUGCAAACGUUGCUCGGAAUCAUUGGGCGUAAAGCGCACGUAGGCGGCCUCAUAAGUCGGAUGUGAAAUCCCUCGGCUCAACCGAGGACGUGCAUCCGAAACUGUGAAGCUCGAGUAUGGAAGAGGGUCGCGGAAUUCCCGGUGUAGAGGUGAAAUUCGUAGAUAUCGGGAGGAACACCAGUGGCGAAGGCGACUACCUGGCCUGUUCUUGACGCUGAGGCGCGAAAGCUAGGGGAGCAAACGGG
rnacentral:rRNA from 1 species